rnacentral:rRNA from 1 species
UACGGAGGGUGCAAGCGUUGUUCGGAUUUACUGGGCGUAAAGCGCGCGCAGGCGGGCUAGCAAGUCAGAUGUGAAAUCCCGGGGCUCAACCUCGGAACUGCGUCUGAAACUGUUAGUCUAGAGUCUCAUAGGGGGUAGGGGAAUUUCACGUGUAGGGGUAAAAUCCGUAGAGAUGUGAAGGAACACCUGUGGCGAAGGCGCCUACCUGGAUGAGUACUGACGCUGAGGCGCGAAAGCGUGGGGAGCAAACAGG